rnacentral:rRNA from 1 species
AUUGAACGCUGGCGGCAGGCCUAACACAUGCAAGUCGAGCGAGCGGCGGACGGGUGAGUAAUGUAUGGGGCUCUGCUCGAUAGAGGGGGAUAACUACUGGAACCGGUGGCUAAUCCCGCAUACUAUCGGCUGAACCCAUUGGGGAUUCGCUAGUAGGUGGGGUAAAGGCUCACCUAGGCCACGAUCUCUAGCUGGUCUGAGAGGAUGAUCAGCCACACUGGAACUGAGACACGGCCCAGACUCCUACGGGAGGCAGCAGUGGGGAAUAUUGCACAAUGGGCGAAAGCCUGAUGCAGCCAUGCCGCGUGUAUGAAGAAGGCCUUAGGGUUGUAAAGUACUGUCAGCGGGGAGGCGUUACCCGAAGAAGAAGCACCGGCUAACUCCGUGCCAGCAGCCGCGGUAAUAC